UACGGAGGGUGCAAGCGUUGUCCGGAUUUAUUGGGUUUAAAGGGUGCGUAGGCGGCUGAUUAAGUCUGGGGUGAAAGCCCGUUGCUCAACAACGGAACUGCCCUGGAAACUGGUUAGCUUGAGUACAGACGAGGGUGGCGGAAUGGAUGCUGUAGCGGUGAAAUGCAUAGAUAGCAUCCAGAACCCCCGAUUGCGAAGCAGCUGCCUAGACUGUAACUGACGCUGAGGCACGAAAGCGUGGGGAGCGAACAGG
rnacentral:rRNA from 1 species